rnacentral:lncRNA from 1 species
AUAAAUAGCUUCUGCAGGAGACUUUUUCUUUUAGAAGUGACUACUUACCACAAGUAGUAUCUUCUCUCUUGGAAGAGGAGAUUAACGUCUCUUUCUAAUUGAGGAAAUCCAUUUGCAGAACUUUAACUUGGCUUAAACGUUACUUCAUCAUGAUUAACAAAUCUGAUUAGAGUCUUCAUGUAUCUGGAGAAUCUUGGCAUCUGGCUUCUGAUGUUAUUU